rnacentral:tRNA from 1 species
GGGGAUGUGGCUAAAGUGGUAAUGUGCUCGCCUGGCAUGUGCGAGGCGCUGGGUUCGAUCCUCAGCACCACA